rnacentral:rRNA from 1 species
AUGAACGCUGGCGGCGUGCCUAACACAUGCAAGUCGAACGGAGAUUAACGCUGACGAGACUUCGGUCAAAUCUUGUUAAAUCUUAGUGGCGGACGGGUGAGUAACGCGUGGGCAACCUGCCUCAUACUGGGGGAUAGCAGUUGGAAACGACUGAUAAUACCGCAUAAGCGCACGAGAUCGCAUGAUCUAGUGUGAAAAACUCCGGUGGUAUGAGAUGGGCCCGCGUCAGAUUAGCUAGUUGGUAAGGUAACGGCUUACCAAGGCGACGAUCUGUAGCCGGACUGAGAGGUCGGACGGCCACAUUGGGACUGAGACACGGCCCAAACUCCUACGGGAGGCAGCAGUGGGGGAUAUUGCACAAUGGAGGAAACUCUGAUGCAGCGACGCCGCGUGAAGUGAAGAAGUAUUUCGGUAUGUAAAGCUCUAUCAGCAGGGAAGAAAGGCUCGCAAGAGAGAUGACGGUACCUGACUAAGAAGCCCCGGCUAACUACGUGCCAGCCGCCGC